GACAGUACAAAUAAUACCACAGUGGGUGUACCUCAUGUAUGUACACCCUGUGAUAUUAUUUGUAAUAUC
rnacentral:miRNA from 1 species